GAGUUUGAUCAUGGCCAGGAUGAACGCUAGCGGCAGGCUUAACACAUGCAAGUCGAGGGGCAGCGCGGGUAGCAAUAUCUGGCGGCGACCGGCAAACGGGUGCGGAACACGUACGCAAUCUACCUUGGUCUGGGGCAUAGCCCGGUGAAAACCGGAUUAACACCCCAUAGUAUAAUGGGAGGGCAUCUUUCUGUUAUUAAAAAUUUAUUGGAUCAAGAUGAGCGUGCGUCCCAUUAGCUAGUUGGUAGGGUAACGGCCUACCAAGGCGACGAUGGGUAGCUGAUGUGAGAGCAUGAUCAGCCACACGGGCACUGAGACACGGGCCCGACUCCUACGGGAGGCAGCAGUGAGGAAUAUUGGUCAAUGGACGCAAGUCUGAACCAGCCAUGCCGCGUGAAGGAUGAAGGCGUUCUGCGUUGUAAACUUCUUUUAUUGGGGAAGAAACCUCUUUUUCUAAAGGAGCCGACGGUACCAACGAAUAAGCACCGGCUAACUCCGUGCCAGCAGCCGCGGUAAC
rnacentral:rRNA from 1 species